UACGUAGGGUGCAGGCGUUAAUCGGAAUUACUGGGCGUAAAGCGUGCGCAGGCGGUCUUUUAAGUCAGAUGUGAAAUCCCCGGGCUUAACCUGGGAAUGGCAUUUGGGACUGCAAGGCUGGAGUGUGGCAGAGGAGACUGGAAUUCCUGGUGUAGCAGUGAAAUGCGUAGAUAUCGGUAGGAACACCAGUGGCGAAGGCGGUCUCCUGGGGCAUUCUUGACGCUGAGGCGCGAAAGCUGGGGGAGCAAACGGG
rnacentral:rRNA from 1 species